GGACUACCGGGGUAUCUAAUCCUGUUCGCUCCCCACGCUUUCGCUCUACAGCGUCAGUGCCGGCCCAGACCACCGCCUUCGCCACCGGUGUUCCUCCUGAUAUCUGCGCAUUUCACCGCUACACCAGGAAUUCCGUGGUCCCCUACCGGACUCUAGUCACAGCAGUAUCGAGUGGCGUCUCCAGGUUGAGCCUGGAGGUUUCACACCCGACUUACCGAACCGCCUUAAAGCGCUUUACGCCCAAUGAAUCCGGACAACGCUCGCCCCCUACGUAUUACCGCGGCGGCUGGCAC
rnacentral:rRNA from 1 species